AUUGGGACAAUAGGGCGCAAGCCUGAUCCAGCCAUGCCGCGUGCAGGAUGACGGUCCUAUGGAUUGUAAACUGCUUUUUUUCGGGAAAAAACACCUCUACCUGUAGAAACUUGACGGUACUGUAUGAAUAAGGAUCGGCUAACUCCAUGCCAGCAGCCGCGGUAAUAAAAAAACA
rnacentral:rRNA from 1 species